ensembl:snoRNA
GCAUGAGCGAAUUCUGCAUUAGUUCUUCCUUAGUUAAUGCAGUCAGACACCAUGCUAUAGUAUCCUCACUGAGUUUAGCAAGAGGGUUCUGCCUUGUCUGUUUUGGCAACACCUUUCAUUCAGUGAAUACAAUU